UACGGAGGAUGCAAGCGUUAUCCGGAUUUAUUUGGGUCUAAAGGGUGCGCAGGUUGUUUGAUAAGUCAGUGGUGAAAGUCUGUCGCUUAACGGUAGGAUUGCCAUUGAUACUGUUGGACUUGAAUAUGGAUGAGGUAGGCGGAAUGUGUAGUGUAGUGGUGAAAUGCAUAGAUAUUACACAGAACACCGAUUGCGAAGGCAGCUUACUAAUCCAUCAUUGCCGCUGAGGCACGAAAGCGUGGGGAUCAAA
rnacentral:rRNA from 1 species